UCCACUGAGAGGACCACCCAC
rnacentral:miRNA from 1 species